UCUGGUUGAUCCUGCCAGUAGUUAUAUGCUUGUCUCAAAGAUUAAGCCAUGCAUGUCUAAGUACACACGAAUUAAAAGUGAAACCGCAAAAGGCUCAUUAUAUCAGUUAUGGUUCCUUAGAUCGUUAACAGUUACUUGGAUAACUGUGGUAAUUCUAGAGCUAAUACAUGCAAUUAAAACAUGAACCUUAUGGGACAUGUGCUUUUAUUAGGCUAAAACCAAGCGAUCGCAAGAUCGUUAUAUUGGUUGAACUCUAGAUAACAUGCAGAUCGUAUGGUCUUGUACCGACGACAGAUCUUUCAAAUGUCUGCCCUAUCAACUUUUGAUGGUAGUAUCUAGGACUACCAUGGUUGCAACGGGUAACGGGGAAUCAGGGUUCGAUUCCGGAGAGGGAGCCUGAGAAACGGCUACCACAUCUAAGGAAGGCAGCAGGCGCGUAAAUUACCCACUCCCAGCUCGGGGAGGUAGUGACGAAAAAUAACAAUACAGGACUCAUAUCCGAGGCCCUGUAAUUGGAAUGAGUACACUUUAAAUCCUUUAACAAGGACCAAUUGGAGGGCAAGUCUGGUGCCAGCAGCCGCGGUAAUUCCAGCUCCAAUAGCGUAUAUUUGUUCACACAUGAACACGAAUAUAUUUAAAGACUUACAAUUUUGGGCUCCGUUCAUAUCUUAUGUAAAUGAAUCGAGAGCGAUAAAUUAUAUUUAGGAUUUUGUUAUCUAAGGCGACAUGGGUGCAUUGCUCAAAAACAUGUAAUUUAAGUGCACACUACUUGAGUCAGUCACUUGAGAUCGUUCCCCGCCUCCUAAAAUAGUCCCUUAGUGGGAGACCACAGAUAAGGUCCUCGCCGCUCAAGAUAGGCAGAUGUGCCCGAGCGUGGGACCUCGAUAAGGCGGGGACUAUUUACUUAGGCCUCUGCGUAGGCCAUUUACUUUAAGAUGCGAUUCUCAUGUCACCUAUUUAAACCAAAGAUAUUUCCAAAUAAAACCAGUUUCUUACAAAAACUCAACGAGUAAAGUCUUCUUAUUUGGGACAUUACAUUUGGUCAAUCGAGCCUUUAAUCGACUCUGCAGUUUCCCCCUACCAAAGGUAAGGAACUCAGAGAAAGGCCAGCUCCUUUAAGCAUCUUACAGCUAAAGGUAGCAAAAAUAAGUGACUCUUGUUUCCCCCUACCAAAGGUAAGGA
rnacentral:rRNA from 1 species